UGCCAGCCGCCGCGGUAAUACGGAGGGUCCAAGCGUUAUCCGGAUUCAUUGGGUUUAAAGGGUCCGCAGGCGGGAAGAUAAGUCAGUGGUGAAAGCCUACAGCUCAACUGUAGAACUGCCAUUGAAACUGUACAUCUUGAAUUCGGUCGAAGUGGGCGGAAUAUGUAGUGUAGCGGUGAAAUGCAUAGAUAUUACACAGAACACCGAUAGCGAAGGCAGCUCACUAGGCCUGGAUUGACGCUCAGGGACGAAAGCGUGGGGAUCAAACAGGAUUAGAUA
rnacentral:rRNA from 1 species